rnacentral:rRNA from 1 species
UACGUAGGGUGCAAGCGUUGUCCGGAAUUAUUGGGCGUAAAGAGCUCGUAGGCGGUCUGUUGCGUCGGCUGUGAAAACCCGGGGCUCAACUCCGGGCCUGCAGCCGAUACGGGCAGACUAGAGUUCGGCAGGGGAGACUGGAAUUCCUGGUGUAGCGGUGAAAUGCGCAGAUAUCAGGAGGAACACCGGUGGCGAAGGCGGGUCUCUGGGCCGAUACUGACGCUGAGACGCGAAAGCAUGGGGAGCAAACAGG